UACGGGGGGAGCAAGCGUUGUUCAGAUUUACUGGGCGUAAAGGGCGCGUAGGCGGUCAGCACAAGUCAGUUGUGAAAUCUCCGGGCUUAACUCGGAAAGGUCAACUGAUACUGUGCGACUAGAGUGCGGAAGGGGCAACUGGAAUUCUCGGUGUAGCGGUGAAAUGCGUAGAUAUCGAGAGGAACACCUGCGGCGAAGGCGGGUUGCUGGGCCGACACUGACGCUGAUGCGCGAAAGCCAGGGGAGCGAACGGG
rnacentral:rRNA from 1 species